rnacentral:tRNA from 2 species
CUCUCCAUAGUUCAGUGGUUAGAGCGCUGGUCUUGUAAACCAGAUGUCGGGAGUUCAAUUCUCUCUGGAGGCA